rnacentral:rRNA from 1 species
GAUGAACGCUAGCUACAGGCUUAACACAUGCAAGUCGAGGGGUAACGAGAGGAAAGCUUGCUUUCCUUGUCGACGACCGGCGCACGGGUGAGUAACGCGUAUCCAACCUGCCCCCAACUAGGGAAUAACCUUGCGAAAGUAAGACUAAUACCCUAUAAUUUCCUCAGAUGACAUCUGACGAGGAAUAGAGAUUUAUCGGUUGUGGAUGGGGAUGCGUCUGAUUAGCUUGUUGGCGGGGUAACGGCCCACCAAGGCAACGAUCAGUAGGGGUUCUGGGAGGAAGGUCCCCCACAUUGGAACUGAGACACGGUCCAAACUCCUACGGGAGGCAGCAGUGAGGAAUAUUGGUCAAUGGGCGAAAGCCUGAACCAGCCAAGUAGCGUGCAGGAUGACGGCCCUAUGGGUUGUAAACUGCUUUUAUACAGGAAUAAAGUUAGCCACGUGUGGUUAUUUGUAGGUACUGUAUGAAUAAGGACCGGCUAAUUCCGUGCCAGCAGCCGCCGUAA